AUUGAACGCUGGCGGCAGGCUUAACACUUGCAAGUCGAGCGAGCGGCAGACGGGUGAGUAAUGUCUGGGAAACUGCCUGAUGGCGGGGGAUAACUACUGGAAACGGUAGCUAAUACCGCAUACCAUCAGAUGUGCCCAGAUGGGAUUAGCUAGUAGGUGGGGUAAUGACUCACCUAGGCGGCGAGCCCUAGCUGGUCUGAGAGGAUGACCAGCCACACGGGAACUGAGACACGGCCCAGACUCCGACGGGAGGCAGCAGUGGGGAAUAUGGCACAAUGGGCGCAAGCUGGAGGAAGCAAUGCCGCGUGUGUGAAGAAGGCCUUCGGGUUGUAAAGUACUUUCAGCGAGGAGGCGUUACUCGCAGAAGAAGCACCGGCUAACUCCGUGCCAGCAGCCGCGGUAAUUC
rnacentral:rRNA from 1 species